rnacentral:rRNA from 1 species
ACUUAAAAUUUAAAAGACUUGACGGUACCUCACAACAACCUAGAGGAGCCUGUCUAAUAACCGAUACUCCACGAUCAACCCAACCCCCCCUAGCCCAACAGUCUAUAUACCGCCGUCGCCAGCCUACCCUGUGAAUGAAACAAAGUAAGCCAAAUAGUCAUACACUAACACGACAGGUCGAGGUGUAACUAAUGAGGGGGCCUAAGAUGGGCUACAUUUUCUGACACAGAAAACACGAAUAAACUAUGAAACAAGAAACUGAAGGCGGAUUUAGCAGUAUACUAAGAACAAAAUACAUAAUAGAAACCAACGCAAUGAGGUGCGUACACACCGCCCGGUCACCCUCA